CCUACGGGCGGCAGCAGUGAGGAAUAUUGGUCAAUGGGCGGAAGCCUGAACCAGCCAAGUCGCGUGAGGGAAUAAGGCCCUACGGGUCGUAAACCUCUUUUGCCGGGGAGCAAGGGCGGGGACGUGUCCGGGCCCGGAGAGUACCCGGAGAUAAAGCAUCGGCUAACCCCGUGCCAGCAGCCUCGGUAAUACGGGGGAUGCGAGCGUUAUCCGGAUUUAUUGGGGUUAAAGGGUGCGUAGGCGGGGUUUUAAGUCAGCGGUAAAAAUUCGGGGCUCAACCCAGUCCGGCCGUUGAAACUGGGGGCCUUGAGUGGGCGAGAAGAAGGCGGAAUGCGUGGUGUAGCGGUGAAAUGCAUAGAUAUCACGAAGAACUCCGAUUGCGAAGGCAGCUCACUGGACUGCAACUGACACUGAGGCUCGAAAGUGUGGGUAUCAAACAGGAUUAGAUACCCUUGUAGUC
rnacentral:rRNA from 1 species